AACCAAUCAACUUCAAUGCUUAUCUUGUGAUAUCCAUAUGUCAGGACAUUAUUAACAACUCAGCUUCCUAGCUCUUUCCGCCACACCACAAUUUGUCUUUCUUCCCUUAUAAAAAGUCUUUGUUUCUGCUUCAGUUUUCACAUAGUCAAACUAGGUUGUCUUCCUGGUGGAGAAUGUGAGUUUAGCAGAUCUGAAAAGGGAGAUGAAUUUAUCGAAAAUCUAUGGGAAUUGGUGGGUUGGAAAGCUUUUUAUGUCAUGGCAUGGAAUAUAUGAAAACUUUCCAAUUCCACCCAUUCCUAUGGGUUCUCGUUAUUCUCUCCCUUUUCUCUUGCUUUGAUUGUUGUUAUCCCUUACAGAUCAUCAACUUUGAAAGGGAAAUGCUAAUAUAACUCAGGCAUAUGCUGAUACAGUCAUUUUCUCUCCUGAUUGCGAUGACGACGUUUUUGUGAUGGAAACCUCUCAAGCAAACAUAGAUCUAAAAUGAACAUCGUUAUCUCAUAAAUUGAUUUUCGUGAAUUUUAAGGCCUGUCCAGCAAACACCAAGUUGGUUAUUUAUGAAAAAUGGACCAUUUUGCAAGCUAAUUGAGUGUGUGAGAGUAAUUUCAUUGAGUUUCACCUAAAUGCCCGAAAAGAUCACUAUCAAUAUUAAAAAGGACGAAUCCUCCUAAUACAGGUUGGUUUCUACAGGGUGUUACUGGUCGUCCUAUUGCAGGGCAUGAAAGUAGCAAAAAGAAGAAAAAAAUCUGCAAAAUAAAAGAUUAUGAGGAUUCUUUCAGUCUGCAUUUUUGAAUAACAAAUCUUGAAAGCAGCCAAAAGGAUACAAAUGGUGAUUCACAAGACCCAAUAGGAAGAAGAUGAAACGUGGAAUCUAUCAACACAAAAUGUUAGUACUUCGGUUGGCCCUUAUUUUGUUGAAAAUGUAACCAUUGGCUUAUAAUAUUUCUGUUUGAAUGCCAUUGCACCAUUUUUUGUUUCGUCACCCAACAUGGGAUGAUUCGCCUUAAACAUAAAAAGUUGUAUAACUUUUUAUAUCCAUUUAUUAUAUAUUUAUUUUCAAGAAUA